CCAAGCAGCCGCGGUAAUUCCAGCUCCAAUAGCGUAUAUUAAAGUUGUUGCAGUUAAAAAGCUCGUAGUUGGAUUUUGGACAUCGUCUGUCGGUCCGCCUUAACGGUGAGUACUGGCGGGUGAAGUCUUCCGGCUGAAGGCUAUCUGUGCUCUUCAUUGGGUGUAGGUAGAAUUCAGCCCAUUUACUUUGAAAAAAUUAGAGUGUUCAAAGCAGGCCUUUGGCUUGAAUACAUUAGCAUGGAAUAACAGAAUAGGACUUUGGUUCUAUUUUGUUGGUUUCUAGGACCGAAGUAAUGAUUAAUAGGGAUAGUUGGGGGCAUUAAUAUUUAAUUGUCAGAGGUGAAAUUCUUUGAUUUAUGAAAGAUUAACUUCUGCGAAAGCAUUUGCCAAGGAUGUUUUCAUUAAUCAAGAACGAAAGUUAGGGGAUCGAAGAUGAUCAGAUACCGUCGUAGUCCUAACCAUAAACUAUGCCGACUAGGGAUCAGUGGAUGUUGUUUCGACUCCAUUGGCACCUUGUGAGAAAUCAAAGUUUUUGGGUUCCGGGGGGAGUAUGGUCGCAAGGCUGAAACUUAAAGGAAUUGACGGAAGGGCACCACCAGGAGUGGAGCCUGCGGCUUAAUUUGACUCAACACGGGGAAACUCACCAGGUCCAGACAUAGUGAGGAUUGACAGAUUGAGAGCUCUUUCUUGAUUCUAUGGGUGGUGGUGCAUGGCCGUUCUUAGUUGGUGGAGUGAUUUGUCUGGUUAAUUCCGUUAACGAACGAGACCUUAACCUGCUAAAUAGUUACAUCAUUUCCGAAUGAUGGACAACUUCUUAGAGGGACUAUCGGCAGUAAGCCGAUGGAAGUUUGAGGCAAUAACAGGUCUGUGAUG
rnacentral:rRNA from 1 species